rnacentral:rRNA from 1 species
UACAGAGGGUGCGAGCGUUGUCCGGAAUACUGGGCGUAAAGCGUGCGCAGGCGGUUUUGUAAGUCUGUCGUGAAAGCCCCGGGCUCAACCUGGGAAUUGCGAUGGAGACUGCAAGGCUUGAAUCUGGCAGAGGGGGGUAGAAUUCCACGUGUAGCAGUGAAAUGCGUAGAGAUGUGGAGGAACACCGAUGGCGAAGGCAGCCCCCCUGGGUCAAGAUUGACGCUCAUGCACGAAAGCGUGGGGAGCAAACAGG